AUUGAACGCUGGCGGUAUGCCUAACACAUGCAAGUCGAACGAGGUAGCAAUACCUAGUGGCGGACGGGUGAGGAAUACGUAGGGAUCUGCCCUUAAGUGGGGGAUAACCCGGGGAAACCCGGAUUAAUACCGCAUGAUCUCGCAAGAGCAAAGAGGGGGACCGCAAGGCCUCUCGCUUUUGGAGGAACCUACGUCGGAUUAGCUAGUUGGUGAGGUAAUGGCUCACCAAGGCGACGAUCCGUAACUGGUCUGAGAGGAUGAUCAGUCACCCCGGAACUGAGACACGGUCCGUACUCCUACGGGAGGCAGCAGUGGGGAAUAUUGGACAAUGGGCGAAAGCCUGAUCCAGCAAUACCGCGUGUGUGAAGAAGGCCUUCGGGUUGUAAAGCACUUUAAGUUGGGAAGAAAAAGCUUCACCUAAUACGUGAAGCCUUGACGGUACCGACAGAAUAAGCACCGGCUAACUCUGUGCCAGCAGCCGCGGUAAUACAGAGGGUGCUAGCGUUAAUCGGAUUUACUGGGCGUAAAGCGUGCGUAGGUGGUUUGAUAAGUCGAUUGUGAAAGCCCCGGGCUUAACCUGGGAAUUGCGGUCGAUACUGUCAGACUCGAAAACGGUAGAGGGAG
rnacentral:rRNA from 1 species